GAGCCGUUAGCUCAGCUGGUAGAGCAUCGCCCUUUUAAGGCGAGGGUCGCAGGUUCGACCCCUGCACGGCUCA
rnacentral:tRNA from 1 species